AUUGAACGCUGGCGGCAGGCCUAACACAUGCAAGUCGAGCGGAUGAAGGGAGCUUGCUCCUGGAUUCAGCGGCGGACGGGUGAGUAAUGCCUAGGAAUCUGCCUGGUAGUGGGGGAUAACGUCCGGAAACGGGCGCUAAUACCGCAUACGCCCUGAGGGAGAAAGUGGGGGAUCUUCGGACCUCACGCUAUCAGAUGAGCCUAGGUCGGAUUAGCUAGUUGGUGGGGUAAAGGCCUACCAAGGCGACGAUCCGUAACUGGUCUGAGAGGAUGAUCAGUCACACUGGAACUGAGACACGGUCCAGACUCCUACGGGAGGCAGCAGUGGGGAAUAUUGGACAAUGGGCGAAAGCCUGAUCCAGCCAUGCCGCGUGUGUGAAGAAGGUCUUCGGACUGUAAAGCACUUUAAGUUGGGAGGAAGGGCAGUAAGUUAAUACCUUGCUGUUUUGACGUUACCAACAGAAUAAGCACCGGCUAACUUCGUG
rnacentral:rRNA from 1 species